UACGUAGGUGGCAAGCGUUGUCCGGAAUUACUGGGUGUAAAGGGAGCGCAGGCGGGAAGGCAAGUCAGACGUGAAAACUAUGGGCUCAACCCAUAACGUGCGUUUGAAACUGUUUUUCUUGAGUGAAGUAGAGGUAGGCGGAAUUCCGAGUGUAGCGGUGAAAUGCGUAGAUAUUCGGAGGAACACCAGUGGCGAAGGCGGCCUACUGGGCUUUUACUGACGCUGAGGCUCGAAAGUGUGGGGAGCAAACAGG
rnacentral:rRNA from 1 species